CCCUUAGAUGUUCUGGGCUGCACACGUGCUACACUGGCAGGUUCAGCGAGCUUCAUGCCCUGAUCUGAAAGGAAUGGGAAAUCUUUUCAAAACCUGCCGUGCUUGGGAUAGAUGUUUGCAAUUAUUCAUCUUCAACGAGGAUUGCCUUGUAAGCGCACGUCAUCAGCGUGCAUUGAAUACGACCCUGUAUUCUGUACACACCGCCCGUCGCUCCUACCGAUUGAAGUUUUCGGUGAGUUGACAGGAGGAUUUUUUUGAAACUGGUUCGCCAGUGGAUUUUAGAUCCAACUGCCAACGAAUCGAUGGCUUUAGAGGAAGGAGAAGUCGUAACA
rnacentral:rRNA from 1 species